AGACAUUUUUCAGAGGUGUUAAAGAAAGAGGAGAUCGGACAAGUCAAGAUCGUAAAAGUGCAAAACGGGAGUUUUUACAGGCAGAAAUUCAAGAGUGCUUUGAACGUCAUGCAUACCUCUAUAAAAAUCAGCACGCGAUGGGAUUUCAGAGAUCGAAGAGGUGUGCUCAGAAAUCGAAGAAGCCAUUCGGAGAUCGAAGAGGCGCCAGCUUUCUCAAAAGUUGGGCUUGCUUACAAACCACCAAUUCCAGAUACCGAAGAGUGUUAAUUGUCUCAGCCUCGUCAGCACCCAUCACACGCAA
rnacentral:lncRNA from 1 species